UUGAACGCUGGCGGCAUGCCUUACACAUGCAAGUCGAACGGUAGAGGAGCAAUCCUCGAGAGUGGCGAACGGGUGAGUAAUGUAUCGGAACGUGCCCAGUAGUGGGGGAUAGCCCGGCGAAAGCCGGAUUAAUACCGCAUGAUACCUGAGGGUGAAAGCGGGGGACUCGCAAGACCUCGCGCGAUUGGAGCGGCCGAUAUCGGAUUAGCUAGUUGGUGAGGUAAAGGCUCACCAAGGCGACGAUCCGUAGCGGGUCUGAGAGGACGACCCGCCACACUGGAACUGAGACACGGUCCAGACUCCUACGGGAGGCAGCAGUGGGGAAUUUUGGACAAUGGGGGAAACCCUGAUCCAGCCAUUCCGCGUGAGUGAAGAAGGCCUUCGGGUUGUAAAGCUCUUUCAGCAGGAACGAAACGGUCGGCUUUAAUAAAGUCGGCUAAUGACGGUACCUGCAGAAGAAGCACCGGCUAACUACGU
rnacentral:rRNA from 1 species